GUCGAGCGGAACGAUGAUAGCUUGCUAUCAGGCGUCGAGCGGCGGACGGGUGAGUAAUACUUAGGAAUCUACCUAGUAGUGGGGGAUAGCACGGGGAAACUCGUAUUAAUACCGCAUACGACCUACGGGAGAAAGGGGGCAGUUUACUGCUCUCGCUAUUAGAUGAGCCUAAGUCGGAUUAGCUAGAUGGUGGGGUAAAGGCCUACCAUGGCGACGAUCUGUAGCUGGUCUGAGAGGAUGAUCAGCCACACCGGGACUGAGACACGGCCCGGACUCCUACGGGAGGCAGCAGUGGGGAAUAUUGGACAAUGGGGGAAACCCUGAUCCAGCCAUGCCGCGUGUGUGAAGAAGGCCUUUUGGUUGUAAAGCACUUUAAGCAGUGAAGAAGACUCCGUGGUUAAUACCCACGGACGAUGACAUUAGCUGCAGAAUAAGCACCGGCUAACUCUGUGCCAGCAGCCGCGGUAAUACAGAGGGUGCAAGCGUUAAUCGGAAUUACUGGGCGUAAAGGGAGCGUAGGUGGCUCGAUAAGUCAGAUGUGAAAUCCCCGGGCUCAACCUGGGAACUGCAUCUGAUACUGUUGAGCUAGAGUAUGUGAGAGGAAGGUAGAAUUCCAGGUGUAGCGGUGAAAUGCGUAGAGAUCUGGAGGAAUACCGAUGGCGAAGGCAGCCUUCUGGCAUAAUACUGACACUGAGGCUCGAAAGCGUGGGUAGCAAACAGGAUUAGAUACCCUGGUAGUCCACGCCGUAAACGAUGUCUACUAGUCGUUGGGUCCCUUGAGGACUUAGUGACGCAGCUAACGCAAUAAGUAGACCGCCUGGGGAGUACGGCCGCAAGGUUAAAACUCAAAUGAAUUGACGGGGGCCCGCACAAGCGGUGGAGCAUGUGGUUUAAUUCGAUGCAACGCGAAGAACCUUACCUGGUCUUGACAUAUCUAGAAUCCUGCAGAGAUGCGGGAGUGCCUUCGGGAAUUAGAAUACAGGUGCUGCAUGGCUGUCGUCAGCUCGUGUCGUGAGAUGUUGGGUUAAGUCCCGCAACGAGCGCAACCCUUGUCCUUAGUUACCAGCGGGUUAAGCCGGGAACUCUAAGGAUACUGCCAGUGACAAACUGGAGGAAGGCGGGGACGACGUCAAGUCAUCAUGGCCCUUACGACCAGGGCUACACACGUGCUACAAUGGUAGGUACAGAGGGCAGCUACACAGCGAUGUGAUGCGAAUCUCAAAAAGCCUAUCGUAGUCCAGAUUGGAGUCUGCAACUCGACUCCAUGAAGUAGGAAUCGCUAGUAAUCGCGGAUCAGAAUGCCGCGGUGAAUACGUUCCCGGGCCUUGUACACACCGCCCGUCACACCAUGGGAGUUGAUUGCACCAGAAGUGGAUAGCUUAACCUUCGGGGG
rnacentral:rRNA from 1 species